AUGGAUGUGAUGAAUUUUUCCCCAGAUGAUUCGACGCUGAAAUAACUGCGCGCUCAUAUAUUUUCUCUCAUUGCAGGGAAAAUCCAAGCCAAAGUUCUGAUCCUU